CCUGCGGAGGGAUCAUUACCGAGUUUACAACUCCCAAACCCCUGUGAACAUACCACUUGUUGCCUCGGCGGAUCAGCCCGCUCCCGGUAAAACGGGACGGCCCGCCAGAGGACCCCUAAACUCUGUUUCUAUAUGUAACUUCUGAGUAAAACCAUAAAUAAAUCAAAACUUUCAACAACGGAUCUCUUGGUUCUGGCAUCGAUGAAGAACGCAGCAAAAUGCGAUAAGUAAUGUGAAUUGCAGAAUUCAGUGAAUCAUCGAAUCUUUGAACGCACAUUGCGCCCGCCAGUAUUCUGGCGGGCAUGCCUGUUCGAGCGUCAUUUCAACCCUCAAGCACAGCUUGGUGUUGGGACUCGCGUUAAUUCGCGUUCCUCAAAUUGAUUGGCGGUCACGUCGAGCUUCCAUAGCGUAGUAGUAAAACCCUCGUUACUGGUAAUCGUCGCGGCCACGCCGUUAAACCCCAACUUCUGAAUGUUGACCUCGGAUCAGGUAGGAAUACCCGCUGAACUUAAGCAUAUCAAAAGCGGGAAGGAAGAG
rnacentral:rRNA from 1 species